UACGUAGGGUGCAAGCGUUGUCCGGAAUUAUUGGGCGUAAAGAGCUUGUAGGCGGUUUGUCGCGUCUGCUGUGAAAUUUCGGGGCUCAACCCCGAACUUGCAGUGGGUACGGGCAGACUAGAGUGUGGUAGGGGAGACUGGAAUUCCCGGUGUAGCGGUGAAAUGCGCAGAUAUCGGGAGGAACACCGGUGGCGAAGGCGGGUCUCUGGGCCGUAACUGACGCUGAGGAGCGAAAGCAUGGGGAGCGAACAGG
rnacentral:rRNA from 1 species